GCGACCUCAGGUCAGGCGGGGCUACCCGCUG
rnacentral:rRNA from 1 species